rnacentral:rRNA from 1 species
UCUACGGGAGGCAGCAGUGAGGAAUAUUGGACAAUGGAGGCAACUCUGAUCCAGCCAUGCCGCGUGCAGGAUGACUGCCCUAUGGGUUGUAAACUGCUUUUAUAUAGGAAGAAACUUACACACGUGUGUGUAACUGACGGUACUGUAAGAAUAAGGAUCGGCUAACUCCGUGCCAGCAGCCGCGGUAAUACGGAGGAUCCAAGCGUUAUCCGGAAUCAUUGGGUUUAAAGGGUCCGUAGGUUGAUAAUUAAGUCAGAGGUGAAAUCUUGCAGCUCAACUGUAAAAUUGCCUUGAUACUGGUUAUCUUGAGUUAUUAUGAAGUAGUUAGAAUAUGUAGUGUAGCGGUGAAAUGCAUAGAUAUUACAUAGAAUACCAAUUGCGAAGGCAGAUUACUAAUAAUCAACUGACACUGAUGGACGAAAGCGUGGGUAGCGAACAGGAUUAGAUACCCUGGUAGUCCACGCCGUAAACGAUGGUUACUAGCUGUUUGGACCUUGUGUCUGAGUGGCUAAGCGAAAGUGAUAAGUAACCCACCUGGGGAGUACGUUCGCAAGAAUGAAACUCAAAGGAAUUGACGG